UGAACCCUCAUUCUCCCUCACGGGUUGAAUGGAUCUGGCCUCCCCAUUGCUUGCGAUGGGCUGGCUGAAAUUCAGAGGUUAAGCUUGGACCUGUAUGGCAACAGCAAGGUAGGUAGAUUUUCUACUCCAGCUGAUGCUUUGGGCACUUGCACAGAACCCGCAGGAAUUCUCACCU
rnacentral:misc_RNA from 1 species